AUAUAUAUCCCCACCUCUUUUGUGUUUUUUCAAGGGACGAGGAGUGUGAGUAGCAGCAAGAUGGUUCGCAAGGCCUUAUCUCUCAUCAUUUUCAUCGCUCUCUUAAUUUCGGUUGAAUUGGCUCCAAUAUUGGAAGCCAGAUUAACAAACAAUAUCCCAGCCAACCCAUGGGGAAGACACCGCAGCGGAGAGUUCAAA